AAAGUACUCCCUCCGUCCAACAAAGGAUACCUCAACUUUGACCAAAUUUGAAUGCAUCUAUACAUUAGGACAUGUCUAGAUACAUUCAAAUUUUGACAAACUUGAGACAUCUUUUAUAGGACGGAGGGAGUAUAAA
rfam:Brachypodium distachyon strain Bd21 chromosome 1, whole genome shotgun sequence.